rnacentral:tRNA from 1 species
CGCAGAGUAGAGCAGCCAGGUAGCUUGUCAGGUUCAUACCCUGAAGGUCGCGGGUUCAAAUCCCGCCUCUGCAA